rnacentral:lncRNA from 1 species
AAGGCGGAUUAUGGUGUUUUCAUUUCCAACAUCCAUGGAGAGGUGAUUGAUAGUCGAGUCGAUUCCGCUUAUAUUUCAUCUCCGAUUGCUGUAGAAGCAAAAGCGGUUCUUGUUGCUACUGAGUAUACUAUCCAACAGGAGGGGGCUCUAAGUUCUUCUCAGACUGUCUCAUGUUGGUAACCAUGCUCAAGGAAGAAAAGGAGCCUUGACCUUGGGACCAUGCUGCCGUGGGAUCUUGGAUCAAGCACCAUCUACAUUGCAAUAUGUUGGUUUGUGUCCAAUUCAUCCCUCGUAAACACAAUGUUAAAGCUGAUUGGCAUGCGAAGGGCUUGUCUCAUCGUAGUCUCCCCUUGUCUUGGUCUUUGCUGCUUUCAGACCCUACUUUCUCUUUUAGAGUCAAUGGUCCUCCCCUGCAAUCUAUUUAAUUGAUGAAUAUAAUGCCAC